rnacentral:lncRNA from 1 species
UUUUUUUUUCUCGCAGGGGCACUGUUAUCUAGAUUCUGAAGCUGUUUCAACGCUUUUCAGGUGCUUCGUGCAUUAAAGACUCGACAAGUAACAUAUGCAGUAUUGACACACUUGAGUGAGUAUAUUCAAGACCUCGGGAAGACUGGGUUGCUCGAGGAAAAAGAAAUAGUCCAUCUCGAUGAUGCUUUGCAGGUAGUUUGGAAUAUAUGAUUUCAUUUCUUGUGGUGAAGUGAAAAUGACUUAUCUCUCUGGUUUCAGUUAAAUCGCAACACACUAACUCUGAUAAGUUUAUUCAUUUGGCAGACAGACUUGAAGAAGCUUCAGAGGAAUCCACCGCUGGUGAAAAUGCCAAGAGUUCGUGAACUUCUAAACACUCAUCCUUUAGUCGGUGCACUGUCUGCUGAUGUUCGUGAUCCAUUGUUAAGUAAUACAAAGGAAACAAUAAAAGUUCAUGGAACAAUUCUAUACAGAGAAGGCUCAAGGCGGACUGGUAUAUGGCUUGUUUCGACUGGAAUAGUAAAGGUAUGUUUCUGCCUCGAGACUACUUCAUUACAUUUUGGUCGAAAUAUAUACUUUCCUACUCUAGCUGUUUCAAUAAUGAAGAUACCCCUUGCUAUUUUUUCCUGGCAGUGGACAAGUCGGAGACUAUGCACCAGGCAUUCGUUGGAUCCAAUUUUGUCACAUGGAAGCACUUUGGGUCUAUAUGAGGCAUUAACUGGAAAGCCUUAUAUUUGUGACAUUAUUACAGAAUCGGUGGUGCAUUGUUUCUUCAUUGAAGCUGAAAAAAUAGAGCAAUUGCGCCAGUCUGAUCCUUCUAUUGAGGAUUUUAUGUGGCAGGUAUGCUCUAAUAAUACUGCUAACCCAUGUGCUCAUUUACAUUUUUGACUCUUAGACAUUUCCUGCAACGCAUAAUCCUUUUCUGCUCUGUUGUUUCCUUGAUUCUGUGAGUGGGAGUGAAGCCCAUUUCCUUUUUAUGUGGUUCUCAAUAGGGUUAAAAUUCCUGCUGGUUACUGAUUGAUAGUCCUGUAAGCCUGUAAUGGGAGGGUGGGUGGGUGGCAGCGUCUGUUCUAACAAGUUUUGCUUAGAGUUGCUUCUAAUUUCGACACUAACAUCAAGUAUGAAGUUUGUCCUAAACCAAGGGUUACCAAGAGAUAAUUGUCAAAAAAAGGGUUACCAAGAGAUUGUCCGCAUGCAGUAACUAUGCAGCAAUGAGGUGUAGAUGAGCAUAGUCUAAACCAACACCUCCAUCGAGGGAUUCGCAUCAUCAUUGUUAGAUUCGAACAAUGAGGUCAAGUCCUAGAUUUUCGCCUGGGCAGCAUAUCAGCGCCCCAUCGAGGGACUGUCGACUGAGCCCUCAACGCCGCCAUCACUGGAUCCAGUCAAAGACUGGACAACCACGUCGUGUUUUCAUCUGCAACCACCCCAGCUGAUUAUUGCCACCACCAGUCCUCAAAUCUGCUUCAUCUUUGUAUCAAACUAUCAAUACCCGUGCACAUUAAUGAAUUGUAACACUCAAAGCAGCCCAAGCGUGUAUGAACUUACAACAAUUGUUGCAACUUGCCUGGACAUUUACUUCUCUUCACCUUAUCGAAACUUUGCUUGGGCACGUCGCGUUGCAUAAUUUAUUACUCCCUCCGAUCCAAAAUACGUGUCUUAGUUUUAAUUCAAAAUUGAACUAAAACCACGACACUUAUUUUGGAUCGGAGGGAGUACGCAUUAAGUAUUAUUACUGACGUUGAACUUCCAUUUAGGUCUGGUGUAAUAAUGCUACAUUUUUUCACAUAAUUUGUAUCUGGUAGACCUUAAUCAUUCAUACACCGAAAUUACAGGAAAGUGCUCUAGUCAUUGCAAGGAUUUUGCUCCCUCAGAUAUUUGAGAAAAUGGCAAUGCGUGAGAUGAGGGUUCUCAUUUCAGAAAGGUCUAGUAUGAAUGUCUACAUUAAGGGGGAAGCCAUUGAGCUUGGGCAUAAUAACGUAGGCAUCUUAUUGGAAGGAUUUCUGAAGACAGAGAACCGAACUUUGAUCACAGCUCCAGCUGUGCUGCUGCCGUCAAACACUGAUUUGAACUUAUUUGGCCUGCAGUCUUCAGGUUCUCUAUAUUUUCAUCAAUCGAGCAGUGGCUGUUUUUUAAAGCAAAAACAGUGAUUUUAUUUUGUUCUAAAAGUAAUUGAACGCUGAAGUGCUCUCUUGUUUACAGCCAUGAAUCAGAUAGACUACUGCUAUACUGCUCCCAGUUAUCAGGUGGAGGCUAGAGCAAGGGCCAUCAUAUUUGAAAUAGGUAGCCUAGAUAUAGAAGCCGAUCUGCAAAGAAGUGCAUCAUUGCUGUCUUCAACCCUCGGACCAUCACGAACACAGAGCAAAGAGCAUGUCGGUUUGCUCAGGUGGCCGGAGAGUUUCCGGAGAUCCAGCGGGCCUGGGAAUGCAAGCCUAGCUGAAAUCAGAAGUCAGCCUGGUAACUUCUCUGCUAGAGCCUUGCAAGUCAGCAUGUAUGGCAGCAUGGUACGUAUGAUCCUUUUCAUCUAUUUUGUCGAUCUCAUAGCUAUGACUUUUGAUCAGCUCAACUAAAAAAUGGAUCAACAACUCAUUCACAGACGGAUGGCAUGCACCGUGCUCGGCGGCAACCGAGGCUUGCUCAUGUGGAAGGAAACCAGAAGCACAGCGUGUCGUAUCCAAAGGUGCCUUCAAGGGCAGCCGACACGCGGCCUCUGUUGUCGGUGAGGUCGGAGGGCUCCAAUGCGAUGAAGAGAAAAUCUGCUCCUGCCCCAGCUAUAGCUCCUGCACUCGCUCCCUUUCCGCCGCCCCUAGCAGAAGGCCGGCAACGCAGGGCGGUAGGAGAAGAUGACGACUCGAGCGAUGAGUCCGUGGGGGAAGAAGUCAUCGUCAGAGUGGACUCUCCCAGCAUGCUCUCGUUCAAUCCACCCUCCGGCCCACCGCGAGGCAGCUGACAGUUGCAGUAUGUACCGAUAUUCUCUUCUUGUUGUAUACUGAAUUUUGUGACCAAUGGUAUCAUGGUGUAUGUAUAUCAGUAUAUGUGUAAAAUGCACGAUAUGUUGUACUGUAUAAUAAAUGGCAGAAAAAGGUUGUGGCGACUUCAAGCUGCAAUGUGGAAGCCUGGGAUAGCCUUGUUGAUAACCCUACUUGCCUUUUUCUAAAUGUGCUGUGGCCCAACAUUUGUGGUCUAUGAGUAUGAAACUACUCAGGUCAUGAAUAUCUUCUGUUCUGCUGUCUUAUGGAGCUUAUGGUGGACUUUUCGUAACAAACUCUGUUUUCAGGGAAGACGAUAAACUCUGUUUUCAGAAGGACGCUGGAGCAAUGCAAAGGAGGUUGUUGUCACACCCUGAUUUUCAUGCCACAACACUUAAGCUAAUACAUCUUGAUAAAGUGUGGUUUGACAAAAACUUUUGCAUUAUUUGGCUUUUAUUUGGAGUUGGUUUUCUCUUUGUGUUUUCAAGUGCUCUUUAAAGUCAACACAACUCCACCUUCUAUACUUCAUCUCCUUGCCCCAAACUUCUGCCCAAUGAUCAUGCCAUGUGUAUAGAGAAAUAUAGUAAUUUCUUACAAAAAUAAUUUGGCCAAAAAGUAUUUUCAAAAAUUAGUUUUCCAAAAACCCCUGAAUUAAGAUUUGUACUGCAAGUACUUAAUUAAGGGCAGUAAAAAUCCUUCCAAAAAUAUGUUUGACUCCUAUUAGAUAUAGGAUACCCAGAAACCACAAAAAUAUAAUUUUAAAAGUUAUUUUACUAUUUUAUUUAAAAGCCUUUUCUUAAGGCCAGAAAUGGUCUUUAAUAGGGAAAAAUUAUUUUUUUGUUUCAAAAAUAUUUAACAAAAAUCAGGGAAACUCAAUGGACAUAUAUUGUCCAUAUAUAAGAGUUUCAACACAUGGUCAUGUUCAAAAUAUUGGUCAAAUCCCUCAAAAACCAUUUCUGCCCAUUUCAAGGAUUUGAAAUAUUUCUACAGGAAAUAUUCCCCAACAAUUCCAAGAAAAUUCUAGCAUGUCACAUAUGACAUGUUUGAUGAUCUUGCCAAGUAUCAUGUCAUGGAGAAAAGUAUAACCCCAUGAAAUCUCCCCAAAACCAUUUCUGUCCAUUUUGAAGUUUGAGCAACUUUACACUGACAAACAUGUCCAAAUGCUCUCAAACUUGGUGCACAUGCUCAAAUGGUGUAAUAAUGCAUCUAGACCAAAUGGCACAAGUUGGAGAGAAUGUUAUCUUGAUCAAAGUACCCCAAAACCCUCUCUGACCAGAAUCAAAUUUGAACAACUCUACAUUUCCAAGUGUGUCCUUUUGAUCUGAAUUUUUGUGGACAUGUUCAAAUCCUCAAAUGAUAACACUACACCAAGUGGUGCAUCAAGGAGAAUAGAUUUGCAUGACUAAAUCUUGGUAAAGCCAUUUCUACUCAUUUCUAGGGUUUACCAAAGUUACAUUGGCUACUUUGCCCAAAUGAGCUCAAACUUGGUGGAACAUCCUACUUCUAUGUGCCAUUCCAUCCUGUUAAUUCUCAUGGCAAGUGGAAUUAAUUUUCUUGCCCAAACCAACAACAAACACCUUUUGCCAUUUUCCCAAAAUCAUCAUUUUGACAUCUUCCAACUAAUCUCCUUGAGCUCAACUUUUUACCACAUCUCCUCCUAGUCUUCUCCUAUCUCCAGUAACUCUUCCCUAGCCUCAGCUCAAUUAUUCUGGGGGUGAAACCCAUCUCUUUCUCUCUCUGUUUACCCAUGGCAACUCCUCCUCUCUCUCUCAUUUCUAUAUGCAGCCCCCCACCUAGCUCCUGACCACUCUAGAGCAUCCAAGGAAGCUCCAGGACACAAGUGGACAUGCCCCUGACCUUUUAAAAUGGCCAUGCCGGCCAUAUGCAUGCUCUGGAGCACGCUACAGUGCGCCCUUGCACUGUAGCUGCCCUCUGCCCGAUGCCUCCGACCACCUCGGCCCUCCCCCGCACGCCCGCCGACGCGUCUCGACGUCCGCAGCACGCUACACCCCUGUCCCCCUCAUCCUUCUCCCUCCUCCUGCCCCUGCUCGCACGCGCGCCGGCCGCCCGAGUACACCAGUGAGCAAGCUCACACGCGCGGUGCCCCUGCCCCCCUGCUCUCUCUCUUCUCUCCCCUAGCUCUGGAUCGAAUCCAGGAACGCCCCACACACCGCGACGAGCUCCUGUGACCCGUGGUGACGGCAACGAGCUCGCCGGCGCACGAGUCCUCGAUGGACCGUCGCCCGCCUAUUUAAAGGCCUCCCCGAGCCCUCCUCUCCUCACCACUCGCCCUCUCUCCCUCCCAGAGACCCACGGGACGAAGCCAAACCUCUCCCCGAGCCCUCCAUCCACCUCCAAGACCGGAGCCGAGCCGCCGGCCUCCACCUAAAUUCGGCCGAGCCCGAGCUCUUCUCCCUCUUCUCUCUCCACCAGCAGGCUCCCCUGAGCAAGGCGGAGCUCCCACGCUCUUUCCCUCGUCCGAGGACGCACCGUAGCGCCGUGCCCAAUCUCGCCCGACGCCACCAUCCGCCGGCAUCCAAGCCACCGUCGCCUCGACCAUCCCCGGUAGCCGUGGCAUACACGAAUGGAUGCGGCGCUCGACGCUGAGCUCACCCAUAGCCAGAGCGUCGCCAGAGGUGCUCCGUAGCGCCGGCAGUCGCCGUCGGGGCUCUCUGCUCCCUCGACCAGGCAAGCGCGCGGGAGGAAGAGGAAGACGAAGGCCCUGCAGGCGGGCCCCGCUCGUCAGUGGCCCAGCCACCGGGCCACGCUGGCAAGUGGAGGCGGGUUCGCCCCCUCUCGCGUCCCCGCGGUGAAGGCGCACUUCGCGUGGGCGCCUUCGACGUCGCCUCGGUCACCCCGUGCGGCCAUUCGGCUGGGCCGGCCCACGGCCUAUCUGCCGCCCCGUGUGCAGGAUAAGGUUAAAACCUUAUUUCCUUUUUCUUUUUCCAGUCAGCUUCAAAAAUCCAUAAACAAUUCAAAUUAACUCCAAAUUGGAUGAUUCAAAUUUCUAGUAGUUCCGAAAAUCAUGCCCUAUCACAUGGUGCCUUUUGCACAUUUUUCUAGCACAUUUCCCUUCACACAUAUUAAAUAAAUCCUAUUUUCUUAUUUCUGUGCUGAACUUUAGAAAAUCACAGAGAGCCCAUUUUUGAUCCAAAUUCCAUGAUUCAAAAUCCUAGAUGUCUAUAAGUUCAAAACUUAGUUUUUAAACAUUUUUACUAAUACUUUCUGUAUCACCUCAAAUAAUGGUCUAUUUCUUCAUAUUUGUCAACUUUGCAAAUUCAUAGGAAAAUCAUUUCAACUCCAAAUCCAGUGAAACCAAUUCCUAGAUGCUUCUAAAAUCAUCCUUUGUUAAAUGGAUGUCUUUGCUCAUUUUUCAAAAAUAUAUUUCUGUACACUUCUUGCAAAUCCAUAAACCCCUUGAUUCCAUCAUAUCCAAAUGUUUAGAAAUAUCCACUGACCCAAUUCCAAUGGAACCACUCUGGUUAAUUUUCGUAUAACUAGAGAUGUCCUAGAAAAGUCAAAUCAAUAUUUUUAGAGCACUUUCAUUUCCUGCCUUGUUGUGUUGCUUAUUAUGGUUGCUUUCGACGAUAGUUGACGAAGUAGACGAAAUGCUUGGAGUUGGACCAAAAGAUAUUUGAAGAUCUCAAGACUCUGAUGAACCAGGCAAGCAGCCCUUUGACCAUGUCUAUGAAACCCUUUUUAUGCAUGUCAUAUAGCACUUUUAUUGCUUGCAUCGAAGUCAUGAUAAAACGGUGGCCACUUGAGGUGGUGCCUCCGUUGCUUUCCUCAUUAACACUUGCAUGAUGCAUGACCCUACCUUUCUAUGAGGGUUAUGCCGUUGGAAGUAGAUAGGAUGCUAAAGUAGUUGCUACGCAAAGUGGAUCAGGAUUAUGCAUGGAAAGAAACAAGUGUGGUUUGACAUACUUGCGAACAACCCUAGUGGGUGCCACUAAUGCCCCUGGGAGAUGAUGAUGAACUAGGUCACUACUUGGUGGAGAAGUAGUGUACCGAGGCUCGAUAAAAGUGUUGUUUACAGAGAUGGAUUAGAUUUAAGAUUUGUCGACUGUCCCAACCUUACAUGCGCAACCACUCUACCCUUGUAUGGGAAAGGACAUUAUUGAUUACCUAGGCCGAUACUAGCUUGGAGCCCGCAUUACUAGUGACGGGAGAGUUGUUGGUGCGCUCUCUCGGGACGGGGUCGUGCCAGGUAGGGCGGCCAUGACUAUUUUCACAGGGCACCGGAUACACCGUUGUGUCCCCUCUCGGAUGUUACGAUCUCGAGUAAGUCUCGUAUGAUGUACAUCGUGAGGAUACGGAACAACGAGUGGACUCCUUGUUAGUGUCGUCUAGGGAAAGAUAAUGAUCGGGUGCUUACCCCGGGUACUUGAGGUAUCGCGGGUCGUGGAUGACACGGAAGUUCCCCAGAUCUUGUGGGUAAAGUGUGCAACCUCUGCAGAGUGUAAAACUAUUCAAAUAGCCGUGUCCACGGUCAAGGACAGUUGGGUGGUGCUGCUUAAACUACAUCCACGUGUUUACAAACCAGUGUGUGUGUUGGAUAAGUGGGAAGAACUACUUGGGUCAAGUCAAGGACUUGACAUGAUUGAGUUGGGUUGGUGCCCACUCUAUUUAUGUUGAUAUCUGUAACCUGUCCUCAUGGUUACUUGAAUUCUCCUGAUGCAUGUCUUACACGUUGUUGAACAUGUCAUUGCACUCAAAACUAGCUUUCCGCAAAAAUUUACCUAUAUCAUGCAUUGUUGUAUCUUGAACCAAAACAUGGGUUGCUUGCGAGUACAUUCAAAGUACUCAUUGUCUUGCCAUUGGUUAUUUAAUUGGCCAGGCAUCAAAGAACAGGAGUUCAAAGAAGAGUCCUUUGGAGACGAACAUGCGAACUAGGACGUUUCUCAGUCAGAAUGCCUGUAGGGUUAAGGCAGAUGGCAUGGGUUCUACUUAUCAACAAAGAUUUCCGCUGCUUGUGUUUCAUUCGAUGUUCAGCCCUUAAGGCUUUAUAAAUGUAAGACUUGACCAUAAUGGUCAUAAAUUGUGUAAGACGAUAUGUAUGGAUGUAAGACUCUUGUUAUUCAGCUUCUGUGUGUUCAGUGAGCAUUGAUCUCUGGGAUCACUAUACACGUGCAUUCGGUGAUCUCGACUUAUGAGUCGGGGUCCCCACAGAGCUGGUAUCAGAGCCAUCCUGACUGUAGGAAGCCUUAGUUAGCAUGGACGUUAGUUAGCUUGAGACCUUCUAAACUUCUCUUCUUUUCUAAGCUUACCAAGCCCGAGGGAUAUUUUUCCAUAUUGACCUCCCCUAUUCAACUUUUGUAGAUGGCUGUCGCCCCCUUGAGACUCCUUAUGACAGGAUUUCCAUCACUCCUAAAAGACUGCCUCCAACAAUGCCACUAUCCCUUGUUGCCCAUAUACACCCUGCAUGAACUGGAAAAUGAUGUGCUCGAGAAGGAGUUCUAUGCCAAGGUUUUUGUGCCUGCCAAGACCUCACCCCAGGGGUGGUUCUUCAUUGGACCACCCAUGCCAACACAAGACCUGGCCAUUCAGCAAGUGGCAUAUGAAGCGCUUCUCCGUCUUCGAGGCCUCCUUCCAGAAAUGAAAGAAGAACACGCCACCCGCUACCUACCUGGAAAGAACGGAUUUGGAGCCCCAGCUCAAGUGAUGAUUUCCCCAGAAGAUGAGGAUCCAACCCUCAAGUACCAGAUCCGCUUCAUCAACGCCGGAGACUACCUUCUACGUCACCUUACCGAAGCAUUCCUUAAGGCUCGCCAAGACCUCCCCUCACUUCUGCACCUCCACUGCCUCGAGAAGAAGAAGGUGGUCGAGCAAGAACAGCAAAUCACUGCCUUAGAAGCCCACAUUUUUAAUCAAGAGCAGCAAAUCAAGGGACUUCGGAAAGCUCGCAACCCAACCCCACGCAAAAGGCAUAGGAAUGGAUUUCCGUAUCCACCUCAUAGAGGAUCAUCGUCAGGCCCCCGACGACAAUACCCAAGACUGAAUAGAAACCCUUGUGCUUCCGUCACAUGUCGCGGGUGUGGUGAACUUGGGCACAUUAAAAGGAUGUGUCCCAACAAGCAGCCGACUGUCGCAUACCCUUUGGCACCACAAGGGGAACCCAGAAACUAAAGACUGAGCACCCUUCUCUCCGAGCAAGCACGACUACCGAGUCCGAGGACCCCUAGGGUAGGAUGAGUCGUGUACCCCCCUAAGGACUGGACGUGGAGUUUGGGUCUCCCUACCAAUGGUUAGGGUUUAGUCUCGGUCUCUGAGCUAACGGUGGCGGGAACCAUAAUCUGAGGAUUGGCUGUGGAUUUUGGGUCUCCCUAGCCCCGGCUAGGGUUUAGUUUCAUUUUAUGGCCGCCAGUGGUGAGGUGACGGCGUCGUUGAUGGUGAGGAAUAAGGUUACCUUGUCUUGUCCUUGUUCGGGCGAUGGUGAUCAGCAUGGGCGAAGGGCAACAGACCCAAGGCCCCUCUUUUGUCUAAGUUUCAUGUAGGUGGUUCUCGAUAGUGGAGUGGAUGGUGACAGUAUGUGUAUUGGUCUUCUGACUUUUUUUUCGAUCGGUAAAGCGCACAACCAACUUCAGCUUUGUCGAGAAGCUAGUGAGGUAAGGCCUCCUGGUUCUAUCUGGCUGGACCUAGGAUGAUUGCUUUGUCAUCCUCGUCACCUUCUUCUCCAGGAUAAAAAUCUUUUACUUUGUCGCCGACUUCUUCUAGCUCCGAGCAACAACUUUCUGACCGUUGCGUCAACACCAUUACUCUUAUGCUAGGCUCCGAGUGACCGGGUGUGUUAUGAAGAUCUAGAGGCGGCAUUGAGCUUUUUGGUCACAACACACCCACAACGAGUGAAUGGCAUGAAGAUGGGUUUGAUGUAACCAAGGACCCGUGUCUUCCUCCGUCCUUGAAAGAGUGUACUUCUUACUUUGUUGGAAAGUCAAACUUUUUUGUUUGACCGUAUUUAACAUUUAUGCUAUCAAAUUAAUAGCAUUAGAUUCAUGAUAAGAUAUAUUUUCAUCAUAUAUCUAUUUAGUUUCACAAGCAUUGACAUAUUUUUGCACAAACUCGGUCAAACUUUAAGAUAGUUUGAUCUUCCAACAAAAUUGAAAGUACGCUCUUUCAGAGUAUUUGUGUUUUGUACGGAUUGUCAAUUGUCAUCCAAAGGUUGGAAAAUUUUAAUUUUUUUUCUCGAACCAAGGAAAAAAAAACAUACAUACAGUCACACGACCGCGUGCCGUACGACCCCCUCCGUUCUGUCACGCGCGUCGCCGUUCCCGGCCGCUCUUGCUCGUCGAUCGCCGGACGGAAUCGCGUCCCCACCGUCCCCACCCGGCCCCCCACGAUCUCCGGCCAUUGGGGUUUCAGGUAUUCACCCCAGCGAUUCUCUUCAAUAUCCCAACCCAAAUCCAUCUAGCUAGAUCGAUCCGCCCCUGGGCCGCAGGUCCAGCUGUAUUUUUCCAAACCCUAGAUAGACAUGGAGUGGCUAGGGCCUCAAGACUGGCUUGAUCUAGGGUGACAGCGCCUUCCUUGCUCGUUCUCAACUUCUCAAUCAUGAAUGUCACUCUGAUGAUCUAAUAAGAUUAGCAUGCAUGUAAUCCACGUCUAUAAAGCAGCGUCUCCUCUGCACCAGUGUUGAUGGAUCCAAGCAAGACGGAGAAGAGGAUGACACCGCUGCCAGCACCUCCUUUCCACAAAGAGCGCCCUCUUCCUAGAGCACAACGGUCCCCAGAUCGACGCUACUCGCCUUACCCUCCUCCGUCCAAGGAUGAUUACUCGGGAAAGGUGAGAAAAUCCCCACACACUUUUUAAUGUGAACACCUUAAGUCCUUAAUCCAUGGAUUCAAAUGUUAUUUUUUCCCCUUUGAACUGGCGCUCGGCAAUAUGGAUCUAUCACUUGCACCUGGAUCGGUCUAUUCUGAUAAAACUGGCGCUCGGCAAACCCUAGAUAUUCUUGGCUUUUGAUGCAACAUGUACUCCCUCCGUCCGGAAAAAGUUGUCCACAACUUAGUGUACUGUGAAUUUUGCAAAAACGCCCUCGUAGCUUAAAAUCUAUUACAAACAUGUCGCUGUUUCCUUCCUUCUUCCUCUGUCCGUCGCCCGCGCGCGUCGCCAGGGCAAGUCGCCGUCGGGGACCUACGCCGGCGCCACCCAGGGCUUGCUCCUCCGCCUCCCAGGACCUGCUCCGCCCAAUUGCUUGCUCCGCCGCCGCCCAGGACGUGCUCCUCCGACGCCUAGGUCCUGCGCCGUCCAAUUGCUUGCUCCGCCGCCGCCAAGUACGCGGUCCUCCGCCGCCCAGGACCUGGGCCACCCAAUUGCUUGCUCCGCCGCUGCGCAGGACGUGCUCCUCCGCCACCCAGGACCUGGGCCGCCGCCGCCAGACCUGCGCGGCCGAUAUCCCCUCCCUCCACCAGGAUUUGCGCCGCCGCCGGCCAGGACUUGCGUGCGCCUGGGUGUCGAGCGCCUCGACCGCGAGUUCUGGCCGCGCCUGGACCUCAAGCUCGAGCUCUUUCCCCUGCUCCUCUGCAAGUUGCUACUGGUCCCCUGCUCGUGUUGCCGCCCGGAGGUCACCUGCUCGUGUGCUGUCACCGGAGGUCCCCUGCUCGUGCUGCUGUCGGUGAGAAGAAAGAAGUACAAGGCUCCUUGCUUUUUCAUCUCCAGUGCCGGACCUUGCUUGCUCUGUAAUUUGAAACACAAUUGAUCAUGUCCUCUGAAUAAAUGUUACAAAUAAAGAAGUUCAGUUAACUUUUGCUAUCUGAAUUCUAAUCAGAUCAAAUUGCUGUCAAUUGCUCUGUAAUACUCAACCAGGUUUAUGAAAAUGAAGAUCAACCAGGUUUAUCUUCAGUAAAUAAUGGUAUGCAUUGUUUGAUUAAGCAGUAGCAAUAGCUCAACAAAUUAAACAAAAAGGAAAUUUCAUAUCGGUAUGCAUUGGCAGGGGAAUGCUAGAACACGCAGAUGUAUCAGCUAGAGCACAAUCUGUGUGAAAAUAAAAGCUUCUGAAAUUUGUUACAGAAAUUUCCCUACUAAAAAGAUAACUGAAUUUUGUGUACUGGAAGUUUACAGUGAAGUUUCAGUAACUACAGUAACUGAAUUUACAGUAAGAUUUCUCACUCCAUUACACUGCUAUUAACUGUAUUAUUCUGCUGUUAACAAUCAGAAUUGACACUAUAUUAUUCAAUCAAGUUGAUGUUCAGAACCUGUCAUUUUCUUCCAAAACCUGUCAAUUUCUGUCAGGUUUUGAUCUGUCAAGUUGAUGUCAAACUUGACACAUAAAUAAAAUUUGACAUCAAUGAAAUUUAGACGGUGAAUAUAGUUUGGACAGUACUCCAUUGUCAUAUUUUCAGUGAGUAAAAUUCAGUUUUGACAAAUUGAAGCCUACUCUAUUCUACUCCUAAAUUCUGAGCUUGAGUCAAGCAGGGGAUACUAAAUGGUGGAUGAGGCAACAAAUUACACUUGAGUAAGAAACACUUUGAUCAUCAUAAAUACUCCAAUUAUUGUUAUACAUUUUUAUGCAUAUUACAAGAAGUUUCAUAAAACUUGAUGUUCAGAACCUGUCAACUUGGUGUUCAGAACCUGUCAUUUUCUAUGUGCUUGUGAGGACAAGCUGUGUUGAUCAGUGCUGGGAUGCUAACACCACAAGAAAGCAUGCAUGCCAUGUUCAGGCUUCUUUUUCUUAGUGCAUAUAGAAGUGGCAAUUAAUCACCACAAAAUGGAGUGCAUAGGUUCAGAAUCGAAGCAUGCAUUUUCCAUACAUAAGUUCAGACUUGAAGCACGAAAAUGUACUCCUCUAGGUUAGCAGCAAGAGCUUACAUAUGAUCCAUAUGGCAAGGGUGACUUGACGCCAUUACGAAUACCUCGCCGUACUUCUUCUUCUUAAUUAUUUGAAUUCUUUUUCUUCUUCUUCUUAAUUAUUUGAAAUAAUUUGAAUUAUUCUUAUUCUUAAUUAUUUGAAUUAAUUUGGAUUUAUUUUUAUUAACUAGGAAUUAUUUGAAUUAGCUAGAUUUAUUUGAAUCCAUCUAGUCAUCUUGCCACCAUACAAAAAGACCCAUACUUUCACCACAAAAAGACCCCAAAGUAGACAAUGAUACUGUAGUUAACAUAACUAGGCAUAGCAAGGCAGGGAGCAAUGCUCUUCAACUCACCACACGAACUGAAUUUUACUCAAACUGAAUACUGUACUGAGCACUGAAUGAGCAAUAAAGGCACACAAUUUAGAGAGCAAAAAAUUGAACAUUUCAGGAUAAAAAACUGAAGAUUUCUGAACACUUCUGAAUGAGCAUUUGUUAUGAUAAGAUUUACUAUUUCUCUUUAGCAAAGACUUAAUAUACAAAUUCAGUUUUUAGGAAAGACAAGAUUUACUAUUUCAGUGAACAUUCAAAGUCUGAACAUUUUUAAAUCUAUUGAAGAAUUAAGGAGGAGUACAAAUUAUUCAGGUGUGGUUCUGUUCCUUUUUUCAGUUUCAGCAGAACAUUUAUGUUUCUGUUCCUUUUUUCAGUUUCAGCAGUACAUUGUUUCUGCAAAAUGUUUCAGUAGAGCCUGACUGAAUGAAAGAAGUAGAACAUCUAUCUCAACUAUACAAAAUUUUAGAAGACCAAAAAUCAGUAGAACUUGACUGAAUGAAAAGUUUCUCAUAGCUGCUUUUGCUUGUACAGAGAGAGGGUACUCCGGGAAGAACAUGGGCCGGUCGGGGAUCCCUGUGCGCUACAGCAUCUGCUCGCCCCCAACAUAACAAGACCAGAAUCAACAGAAGCAAACCACGGAGUUGCUGGCCAAAAUAAUUUCAAACAAAAUGAAAGCUGACAAGGGAGGAGAGGACCUGCGUCAUGUUGUUCUGCUUCUUGAUGAGGGAGGUGAGGAGGGGCCUGAAGAGCGGGGACUCGAGGAGCAUACCCAGUACGCCUUGGCGGCGAACGGAAUCCCCUUCCUCCUCCUUUGUGGACUGGCGCACGGCCGAGGCGGCGACCGGCGCGUAGGCCCACGCACACCCGAGGUGGCGCAAGCGCAGCGCGAGACACUGCUGCUUUCCCCGUGCCUCCUCCGGCGUCGGGGGCAACGAGGAGGAGGUGUCGCCGCAGCGCGCAAGCAGGAGACGCAGCGGGAGGAAGAAGAAACAACUUUGGGGGUGAAAGAGGGGAGAUUUGGGAGGCAGGCAAGGGGGCCAGGGGAGCUGCGCGAGGCAGGAGGUCUUUGGUCGGUGCAUACUGUACACGCCCACAGCAGUUUGGACCAAACACCAUCGCUGAGUAUGAAUUUGAUCCCAUGUUCAAGGACGUGGGACUUGACAUGUCCGUUUAUGGCUACCUGCUUCCCUUACUCGGCCAUAAAGUAGCUCCUGCCGCUGAUGCUCCCAACUCAUCCACGCAGGCAAGACUUCUACUCAAACUCCUGACAUUUUUUAUGCCAAGCAUGCUGCUACAAUUAUUGAUUUUUUUAAAAGGUCAACAUUAUAAAAUUAUGAUUUUUUAAAGGUGUGAACACUUCUUGAAACCACAUGAUUCUUUUUAGAAAAAAACAGGUGAACACUUUUAAAUUACACCAACAUCUUUUUUAAAUAGACUAACACUUUUUUAUAAUCACAUGAACUUUUUCGAAGUACACUAGUUUUUAAAUUGCAUAAAUAUGUUUUAAUGGCAUGAUUUUUUAAAAUAUGUGAACAUUUUUUAAAAAUUGCAUGUUUUUUAGAAGAAUGAACACUUUUUAAAAUGUCAUGAUAAUUUAAAACAAGUACAUGAAUAAUUUUCUUUAGUUACCUAAAACAGUUAUUGUUGAUUUGAUUGUAAUUUUUUACAUAACUUUAAAAUUAGAAAAGAGAGAAAAAGUACCUUUGUAAAUGGGAUGCAUUAACAGACGCCCAUUUAAGCAUCACUCGGGCGAUCACGUGCUUCCCGCUUGCUUAGAGCGGUGUAUUGCAGUGCCCUUCCAAAAGUUUGAUUGUGAAGAUAAACGCAAGUAGAAAGGUAUUACUCGAUUUGAAAUUGAAAUUUAAGGUAUUCGAACAGAAUGAUAGGUACAAUUACGGAUUGAAAGGAUGUUCAGAACAAGACAAGUUUAAAUCGAAAUCACUGGUGGCACAUCGUCAUUAGGCAUGCAGCACAAUCGCUAAACUCAAAAUCCAAUUCUGUAGUUUAGCUAGAAGUUCAUGGUUUUCCGGUUUUAACUUCUAUGUGUCCGUGAUGCGAAUAGCAUCAAAUAGAUACUACUGCUUUAAUUUGCUCAUUGGUAGAAUAUUCAGAUCUGCCAAUCGCGGGAAUAGCUCAUUGGUAGAAUAUUCAGAUCUGCCACUCAAAUUUUUCUUUAGAUGAUGGUCUGUGAUGCCCUGAUCUGCUGCUUUAAUUUGCUUGUGUUAAAUGAAUAAGUCACAGCUCAAGAACUUGUGUAAAGAAUAAAGAUAUUGUUGUCUUCUUGGCUACUUCCAUAACCUGUGUAAAUAGAAUAACAGGGUUUUUAUUAUUUUUUCAUGUGAGUGUAACAGUGAGGUGCUUUGUAGUGUAUUGUGUCUGAUUAUGGACAUGACAAGAAGACCAUGAUUUGCUUCUCAGUAACCCACUCAAAUGCAUUGUUCAUUCCAUUUUGAAGACUGUGAUGCUGUCAAUUUCUCUAUGAACUUAAGUGCAGAACUAGUGAUGUUAUACUUGCUGUAGACCUUGAGACUGAAUUUAUACUUAUAUUUAUAUAUUGAACUUCUGCUGACCUCUAUUAUACUUCUUCUAUUUAUCUGGUGAUGUUAUGCUUGCUGCAGCCCUUGAGAUCUUUAUAUUGGAUUCAUGGUUUUUGUUCACACUCUUCAUUUGUUCAUUUUGUAGGUUCACACAAAGAGACGCAGCAGGCUGGUGCAUGACAAGAUGAGUGACCUUGUUUUCAUCAAGUUCAACUCCAAACUGAAGGACAAGAAACUAAACAAACUCAAGGACCCCAUUGAGAAGCAGGUGGUAGAUGUUUUAGAAGAUGAUGAGAAUGAAUGGAUCACUGGUGUGGUGCCUAAUGGUGAUGAAGAACAAGUUGAAGGUGAAGAUCAAGAUCAAGAAAUUCCAUAUGCAAGCUCGCAUGCUGGACCAGGAACUUCUGCUAUUAAUCCCCUUAAAAGGAAGAGGGGUGUCUAUGGUAAGAAGAAGAAGAUGAUGAUCCCUGUUACUCCUCAAGAAGAUCUGCUCUCUGCUUCCUCUGCUUCAGAAAGUGACGACGACGAGGACACCAACAUGAGUUCUGGUUCUGACAUGUGAGCUUGUCGGUUUCUUUAUGAAGUUCGUUUUGGCGCUCAUGAUUCUAUCCUUUCCUGUGUGCUUUUGACAAAUGAAUUCUGAAGACUUUGUGAUGCAUGUAAUGGACUAUGGACAUGCUGCUGUUGUUACUUAACUUCUGCCGAACUGCUGAUGUUAUGCUUGAUGCAGUCUUGAAUUUAUGUUUUUAUUUAUCUGUUGAACUGCUGCAGAUCUCUUCUGUACUUGUUAUGUUCAAAUUUAUAUUGAGAAUCCUCUGUUUUCUACUGAAAAUACCCUGUUUCCUGAGAAAAAUAUGCACAUGUAUUAGUAUAGAUGCAUGAUAUACAUGCAAAAGUACUGUAGCCGCGAAAUGGCUUAGCGGCCGCUAUAGCCGGCGAUAGCGGCUGUAGCGUUGGCACAGAGCCAGCCGCUAAAUGCCUUAGCCCGCGAUCUGAAACUUUGCUAGUACAUCAUUGACAUGUGCUGCAGCAUCUUUGUUUACUGAUAAGUGGGCUUGCCAAUCUCUGUUGCUGCAACCUGCGCUUCGACAAAACAUUGCCAAACCUCCUUUAACCCGGUCCGCUUUCAACCAAUAGUUUUUGUCUGUGCUCUCGGAUACUACAAGCGAUAUGAAGAAGAAGAAGGCGCCGCUGCCAGCACGUCCUUUCUACAAAGAGUACCUUCUUCCUAGAGCAGACCGAUUCCCUUGAUUGGCGUUACUCGCCUUACCCUCCUGUCUCCGGAAAGGUGAGAAAUCCCCACGUGUUUCUUAAAUCUCCACACCUGAGUCCAUGGGUACAAAUGUUACCUUUUCUGUUUGAACCACAUACAUAUAUAUUCUAGUGUUGCUGCAUUGUACCAGCAAACUGAUUGCUAUUGAUGCACGUUUCUUUCUAUGCUACAGAUGGUAGCUCUCACAUCCAUCGUUCCAUGUAAUGACUCAUUUCCAAUUUUCAUCACAUUGUUCCAUUUAAAUAGACUUAUGCUACCAAAUGUUCCGUACAAACUAACUGUUUUGAAGACAAGUUUAUGAACUGCCGUCUUGGAUGUUACUGUAUUGACCAUCUCUUGUUUGUUGUUGGAAACAUUUUCUCUCUUUUACCAUAGCAGGUUGGCACAACUACUGGAUACUGGCAGAGUGAUGGUUGUUCAGAAGUCCCUGUCCGUGAAGGUGUGCACCCAUGUAUCUAUAUUUCGGGACAACUAAGUUCGAAGCAUUUAGUUGUUCAGUAUAUAUACCUAUAAACCCAAUGUCUUUUUGGAGAAGAACCAUAUCGAUUGAUGUAAACACAGUAAAGUAAAACAGAAUCACAGCUUGGAUAGAUUUGUUUACUCGUUGAUUAAUUCAGAUAUCAUGUUUGGUAAUUUAACAUGCCAUGUUGAUUAUGUCUGUUACAUACUUUUUUCUUCUUUUAUUAUUUCUGUUGCUGACACCCAAUGUGUUUUACUUGUGUGACAGUUGCUGCUUUGAAGAUUGCUGAGAACUAGCCAUGUAUGUGCCUAGCCAAGUCGCUCCCAGAAGAUGAAAUCAAGUCAAGAUGUUUAUGGCGGAUCCUGAUUUCCAUAUAUUGAGAUUACGAACCCAUUACUAAUAACUACUUGAUCUAAAACAUCUUAUAUUAGUUUACAGAGGGAGUAUGUAUUAGCUACAACUAUCCUACAUGUGGGCUGCAUCUUCAAUAUCAACGCAUGCAGGAUAUAUUAUUGUUAACUUGUGUCUGCGCUGCGCCACAUAUAUCUAUCCAUCUAUAUAAUGCAAGAUGUUUGUUUGUGUCUGAGAACGAGUGGCAAUCUGUCACCGAUUUCAUAUUGUACAAUGUAUGCAUAAGAACGGGAAAAUUUUAUCUGCAGUGGUGAUUAUUUCAUAAUACUGCUUCGAUCAUUUGCGGAAUUUAUCCCUUUUUUUGGUUUAAGAGCUUGAUUAUUGCCUGUAAGCAGGGAUUAGGGUGUCGUGUGAGGGUCCUUUCAAUUUAUGUUCUGUUCCAUUGAUUGUCUGAUUUUGUACUAGUUGACAAGCUGACAAGUUUGAGGACCAGAACAACGGGGCAUGCACUUUGACCUGUGGGUUUCCUUUUAACUUGCAGGAUGGCACAUAUUUUUCCAUUUAGCACAGCUCGUGAAAGCAAAUUUAUGCUUUCACGAGAAGCAAACACACAUUUCCCCCCUUUUUUUAUUGAGAAGCACAAAUCUUUUUUCUGUGAGAAAAAAUUGCCCAUAAAAAGUUGUUUUUCCUCCAAAACCUAAGGCAAAUCAAGCGAAAUCAAAAAUCCAAAAAAUCAAUGUAAAACCAGAAAACGCGUAGAGAAAAAAAUUCAGAGAAAGCGUCCAACAUGUGACAUGUGGUGGCAGCUGGAUGCACCACUUGGCAUGCUCCCAAGGCGCCAAAAGUGACCCCUGAAGAUCCCCGUAAAGGUAACUUUCGGUUAGUUUGCUCUCGAGAAAAAGAAAGGAAUCUUGGGUACCUACCAGGCCACCACACAAUUAGUGAACGGAGCCGAUAGUAUUCAGGUCAGUGGAGUCCAAGAUGCUGUAACAUCACACUUGAUUAGUUCAUUGACCAAAUGCAAACAUGUUCAGACUGUAUCCACACAACACAGGCAUGAAGCAUGGUAGUACUAUGCAGAUGCCAGACGUUGCCUCUAUUCACAUACUCAACUAAUUCAGGAAAAGACAUGGCAGCGUGUGAGAUGAGCUUGCUAUUAGCUUCCUUCUUCUCCAUCCUGGUGAUCGCCGCUGCAAGCGAUGAGGCCGCGCUGGUUGCUUUCAAGGUCAGGCUCAGCAACUCCAGUAUGCUUGCCUCUUGGAACAGCAGCGCCGACUUCUGCAGCUGGGAGGGCGUGACAUGCAAGCGCAGGAGGCCGACGCAGGUGGUCGCGCUGAGCCUGCCCUUCCGCGGACUCGCUGGUACCAUCUCUCCGGCCAUAGGAAACCUCACCUUCUUGCAGAGGCUAAACCUGAGCUCCAACGAGCUCUACGGUGAGAUGCCACCAAGCAUCGGCAGCCUUCGACAAUUGCAGAGCCUUGACAUGGGGAACAACAUGUUCUCUGGUAUAGUUCCUGCCAACCUUAGCUUCUGCACCGGCUUGACAACCCUCAUUCUCCACUACAAUCAGCUCAACGGUCACAUCCCAGUUGAUAUUGGCGAUACUCUGACACACCUACAGGGACUCUCACUGAUGGAAAACACCUUCACCGGGUUUAUUCCAGCGUCUCUGGCUAACCUGUCAUCACUGCAUGCUGUAUCUCUCAAGCGCAACCUGCUCCAUGGCCCCAUCCUGGACAGCCUUGGCAAACUCGCAGGCCUGCAAUUCCUCAACUUUGAGGACAACAGACUCUCCGGUGUGAUUCCACCCUCCUUGUACAACUUGUCAUCACUGACAAACUUUGCCGUUGGUGGGAACAAGCUGCAUGGCAACAUUCCUGCCGAUAUAGGAGACAGAUUUCCCAUGAUACAAGAAUUUAGCCUUGAUGAUAACCAGUUCAGCGGAGCCAUUCCUUCUUCAAUAUCCAAUCUCACUACACUGGAAGGGUUAUGGCUCUCACAGAACAGAUUUAGUGGAUUUGUGCCUCCUCGUCUGGGGAGGCUGCAACAUCUCGUAUUUUGUUCCUGCAUGAGACAAAUGUUGAAGCAAAUGACAGAGAGGGUUCGGAGUUCAUCACUUCAAUGGCAAACUGCAGUCAGCUGAGAAUCCUACUUAUCGGCAACAACUCUUUCAGUGGACGACUGCCAAGUUCAAUAGCGAACCUCUCGACAACUCUCGAUUCCCUUUACUUAGGUUACAAUAACAUCUCUGGACAUAUCCCCUCAGAUGUUGGCAAUCUUGUAGGCCUUAGCAUACUCGAGAUAGGGCAUACCUUCAUGUCUGGAGGGAUACCAGAGAGCAUUGGGAAAUUAGUGAACUUAGUUCAGCUGUACUGGGAUAAUAAUAGCUUUUCAGGCCUCAUACCCCCUUCUAUUGGUAAUCUCACACAGCUGGAAUGGCUACUUGCGCCCAACAAUAGCCUAGAAGGGCCUAUUCCGGCAAACCUUGGAACACUGGAAAAUCUUCAAAUUCUUGAUCUGUCCAUGAAUUACAAACUGAAUGGCUCGAUUCCUAAGGAGAUACUGGGGUUGACUUCCCUUUCUUCUCAGUUGGAUCUGUCAUACAACUCAUUAUCUGGACCUCUUCCUUCAGAGGUUGGUCGACUGCACAAUCUCAACAAGCUUAUUCUGCCAGGAAACCAUUUGUCCGGUGAGAUACCUGAUAGUAUAGGAAACUGCAUAGUGUUGGAAUUCCUGUUGCUGGACAGGAACUCUUUCGAAGGAAGCAUGCCUCAGUCUUUUGGGAAUAUAAAAGGGCUCCGUGUCUUGAACCUGACAAUGAACAAGUUGUCUGGUGCGAUACCUGAUACGCUUGGAAGCAUGCACGACCUAGAACAAUUGUAUCUGGCACGAAACAACUUCUCAGGGCCAAUCCCGGCAGUUAUUCAGGAUUUGACCUUGCUGUCGAAAAUGGAUGUGUCCUUCAACAACCUGCAAGGUGAAAUGCCAAAAGGAGGUGUUUUCAGAAAUCUAACUUACAUAUCAGUUGCUGGAAAUAGUAUGUUAUGUGGUGGAAUACCUCAGCUUCACUUGGCUCCAUGCUCCACCAACCAAACAGGCAAAAAUAAAAGAAAGUGGUCAAAAUCAAUUACAAUAGCUCUUGCAACAACAGGACCAAUAUUGUUGAUCAUUUCAGUGGUCUUCCUUACUCACAUUUUCUGCAAGAAGACGACACGAGGACAGAAGGGCCAAUUGCCGCCGAUGCUUAUCGGGGAGAAAUAUCAGAGAGUCUCUUACCAUGCAUUGUCAGCAGGAACUAAUGGCUUUUCAGAAGAGAACUUGCUUGGGAAAGGAAGAUACGGUGUUGUAUACAAGUGCAUUAUGGAUGACGAAGAUACAAGUACAACCGUGGCUGUAAAGGUUUUUAACCUUCAACAAUCAGGAUCUUCCAGGAGCUUUGACAUCGAGUGUGAGGCGUUGAGGCUAGUGCGUCAUCGUUGCCUUUUAAAUAUUAUCACUUGUUGCUCGAGCAUAGACCCCCAAGGGCAAGAGUUCAAGGCACUAGUUUUUGAGUUCAUGCCUAAUGGUAGUUUGGAAGAUUGGCUUCAUCCAAAAUCUGAAGAACUCACUUUAAGUAAUACGCUCAGCCUAGCUCAGAGGCUAGACAUUGUUGUUGAUGUUGCUGACGCAGUUGAAUAUCUUCAUAACCACUGUGAAGUGUGAACCAUCAAUCAUCCAUUGUGACCUCAAGCCAAGGAAUAUUCUUCUUGCAGAGGACAUGAGCGCCCGUGUUGGAGAUUUUGGCAUCUCAAAAGUACUUGGCGAAAGCAGAAUUGGCAAUCAAAAUAAUUCAAAUAGCACAAUUGGGAUAAGAGGUAGCAUUGGAUAUGUUGCUCCAGGUAACUGAAAUUCUUGUACUCUUUUUGCUCCACAUCAUUGAUGUACUUUGUCAUCAAUUCUUGUUUCAAAUAUAUUGCAGAGUACGGGGAAGGCUCUGCUGUCUCGACUGCUGGUGAUGUGUUUAGUCUUGGCAUAUUGUUGCUUGAGAUGUUUACUGGAAGGAACCCAACGGAUGACAUGUUCAAAGACUCACUGAAUCUGCACAAGUUUGCUGACGAUGCUCUCGGCGACAAAACAUUAGAGAUAUCUGAUUCAACAAUUUGGCUACACCCAGAACUAAAUGCUAGUAUUGCAAGUAACAGAAUCAAGGAAUGCUUGAUUUCCAUCUUCAGAAUCGGCAUAUCCUGUUCAAAGCAACAACCAAAAGACAGAAUGCUGAUAAGAGACGCCGCAGUACAGAUGCACGCAAUCAGAGAUGAAUACCUCAUGUUUUCAACUGAAUUAUAUGUAACCUAAAGAAGAGGCCACUAGUUUUUGCAGUUAUUCGCAAGAUCAAUGAACAAUGAGCUAAUAUAGUUAAUUAUCAGGAAUAAGUGUAACUUUACAACCACACAUGGUGUUGAAUAUCUUUCAGAUCUGUAUUUCUUCGUGCAAGUGUCAUACAAAUGCAAAAUGUAUGUAUCUAUUUCCUCUAUUGAUAUGAAAUGUUUGAGCCUCCAUGCCAGUGGGCAUGCCAAGUACAUAGCUUAUUGCAAAUUACCAAGAUUGUGAGAUGACCCCAAGUACUUUGCAAGGACACAGAGCCCAUUUGUUGUUGUCCAGCUUAAAGCUAAUAUCUACAGGACGACACAAAUGUACAACCAUAAAAAAAUUCCUGUCAAUCAAAUACAAAUUAUGACGCCAGACAUGAAAAAUGGCAUAAAAAGGGUCAGCCAGAUAGUAUAUAUAGUACUAAGCUAAAAGCAACAUUACUAUUUCACAACCCCAGUUUACUGAAAGUAGCACCACACAGCACCUGAAAUUUCACACUCCGAUUCAUCAGAACUGAAUAACAGGCUUAGCAGGUCUGCUCCAAUCUGGAAUUCCACACUCACAUGGAUUUCCCCACAAUCUCCAUCUAGCAAGAAAAUAAAUCACAUAACAGAGACCACUAUUUAUUCCAGAUAGCAGCACCUAGUAAUUCCCCUUUACAACUACCCCACUAAACAGUAACCAUCACCCAUCCAUUCCAAUUAGCCCCUGCCACAGUGCUGCUGCUAUUCUAGUCCAGGUAACCUAAGUGGAUUUCGAUAGCAAUUAACAACACUAACUACCUCUGCU